ensembl:lncRNA novel transcript
AGAGGCUCUGCAUGCCCAGGAGGCUUCUCUGAGACUGGGAAGGAGUGGAAACUCAGUAGCCCGUGGUCCUGGUUGCGCGCUCCCUCCCAUGUCUUCAUUAUCUGAUUUGGUAAAAUAUCUACAAGACGGGGGAGUCCGGGCUGCUUUCUUUGACACUGGUCAUCACUCCACACCUAGACGCUAUGUCCAUGUCUGGAAGAUGCUUUUAAGGAAGUUUUGAUGCAGAGAAGAGUGGCCGGUGCUCUUCCUCGCGUGCCACCAUCUGCUUACUUCCAGAAGCUAAUUAUUUUCAUGUGACUGAUGUGACUAAUAUUUUUUAACGCCUGCAGGUUCGUUAUGUACCAGCAAAUGUUCAUGGUACUGAAGAUAUACCAGUUGAAGAGAAAGAAUGUUCUUGUUGUCAUAGUACCUAUUUGCUACGAGGUCAAAUCUUGUUCCUGGAAGAAAUGUACAAAUAUUAAUACUUAAAACAGUAUUUUCCAUUAAGAAGAGAAUUUUAUUCUGAUGUGAAGGAGCCUAUGAAGAUCAACAAGGAGAAUUUCCAAGAGUCAUGUCAGCCUCCAGUAUCACCUCAACACAUCCAACUUCCUUCUUGUUGAUGGGGAUUCCAGGCCUGGAGCACCUGCACAUCUGGAUCUCCAUCCCCUUCUCAGCAUAUACACUGGCCCUGCUUGGAAACUGCACCCUCCUUCUCAUCAUCCAGGCUGAUGCAGCCCUCCAUGAGCCCAUAUACCUCUUUCUGGCCAUGUUGGCAGCCAUCGACCUGGUCCUUUCCUCCUCAGCAUUGCCCAAAAUGCUUGCCAUAUUCUGGUUCAGGGAUCGGGAGAUCAACUUUUUUGCCUGUCUGGUCCAGAUGUUCUUCCUUCACUCCUUCUCCAUCAUGGAGUCAGCAGUGCUGCUGGCCAUGGCCUUUGACCGCUAUGUGGCCAUCUGCAAGCCACUGCACUACACCACGGUCCUGACUGGGUCCCUCAUCACCAAGAUUGGCAUGGCUGCUGUGGCCCGGGCUGUGACACUAAUGACUCCACUCCCCUUCCUGCUGAGAUGUUUCCACUACUGCCGAGGCCCAGUGAUUGCCCGCUGCUACUGUGAACACAUGGCUGUGGUCAGGCUGGCUGUGGGAACACUAGCUUCAACAAUAUCUAUGGCAUUGCUGUGGCCAUGUUUAUUGGAGUGUUGGAUCUAUUCUUUAUCAUCCUAUCUUAUAUCUUUAUCCUUCAGGCAGUUCUACAACUCUCCUCUCAGGAGGCCCGCUACAAAGCAUUUGGGACAUGUGUCUCUCACAUAGGUGCCAUCUUAGCCUUCUACACACCUUCAGUCAUCUCUUCAGUCAUGCACCGUGUGGCCCGCUGUGCUGCGCCACACGUCCACAUUCUCCUCGCCAAUUUCUAUCUGCUCUUCCCACCCAUGGUCAAUCCCAUCAUCUACGGCGUUAAGACCAAGCAGAUCCGUGACAGUCUUGGGAGUAUUCCCGAGAAAGGAUGUGUGAAUAGAGAGUGAGGAAUAAGUGGAAAAAGAGUGGGGCACAGUGAAUGCUGUAGUGGGCCAGGGCUGUGCUGAGAGUAGAUGGGUGCUAGACUCCACGUUUAGUUCUUUUCUUGUAUUAUGGAAAGAAUAAAUGAUGUCCUGAAGCUCAGUGCCAACAGUCUGUUUAGAAUUUGUGGGUCUUUGCCCUCUGGUAGCCUCUGGAUUGAACCUGGUGACUGUGCUGUCUCCUCACAGAGCCCUGACUCCUGUCAGUAAACUUGACAGAGUCUUGACCCUCCGGCCUCAUGGUGACUUUGCUGAAGGACACAAAGAUGCUUCCAAGUUCAUUUGCCUAAGAGAAGACUGUGAAAAUCUGAAUUUCCAUCUCUGACUUGUUGGAAAUUUGGUGAAUUAUCCACUCAGAUUCCCGAGUUAGGACCUCUACUCCAUCCAGUGCAGGAGUUCUGCUACAUUCUAACAGUUGAACCCUAGACUCUACCUAAACACUGUCAGUGCUGGUGCACAUGCAUCCUUUAGGCCUAUUUAUUCCAAGUGAGACAGCUCUGCUUGUUAGAAGGUUAUUUCUUCAACUAAGCCAGUCUGUAUUCUUUGACUUCUUUUUACCUCCUCAUCCUCAUGGCUAUUCCAUCUCAUUAAAUACUUUGAAGAAAAACCAUA